AUUGAACGAUGGCGGCAGGCCUAACACAUGCAAGUCGAGCGAGCGGCGGACGGGUGAGUAAUGUAUGGGGACUGCACGAUAGAGGGGGAUAACUACUGGAAACGGUGGCUAAUACCGCAUACUAUCGGAUAACCCAUAUGGGAUGAGCUAGUCGGUGGGGUAAAGGCUCACAUAGGCGACGAUCUCUAGCUGGUCUGAGAGGAUGCUCAGCAACUCUGUGACUGAGACACGGCCCAGACUCCUACGGAGGCAGCAGUGGGGAAUAUUGCACAAUGGGCGCAGGCCUGAUGCAGCCAUGCCGCGGGUAUGAAGAUGGCCUUAGGGUUGGAAAGUACUUUCAGCGGGGAGGCGUUACCCGCAGAAGAAGCACCGGCUAACUCCGUGCCAGCAGCCGCGGUAAUAC
rnacentral:rRNA from 1 species